rnacentral:rRNA from 1 species
ACUGCUCAGUAACACGUGGAUAACCUGCCCUUGGGUCCGGCAUAACUCCGGGAAACUGGAGAUAAUUCCGGAUAACGCACAUAUGCUGGAAUGCCUUAUGCGUAAAAUGGAUUCGUCUGCCCAAGGAUGGGUCUGCGGCCUAUCAGGUAGUAGUGGGUGUAAUGUACCUACUAGCCAACAACGGGUACGGGUUGUGAGAGCAAGAGCCCGGAGAUGGAUUCUGAGACAUGAAUCCAGGCCCUACGGGGCGCAGCAGGCGCGAAAACUUUACAAUGCGGGAAACCGUGAUAAGGGGACACCGAGUGCCAGCAUCAUAUGCUGGCUGUCCGGGUGUGUAAAAUACACCUGUUAGCAAGGGCCGGGCAAGACCGGUGCCAGCCGCCGCGGUAACACCGGCGGCCCGAGUGGUGAUCGUGAUUAUUGGGUCUAAAGGGUCCGUAGCCGGUUUGGUCAGUCCUCCGGGAAAUCUGACGGCUCAACCGUUAGGCUUUCGGGGGAUACUGCCAGGCUUGGAACCGGGAGAGGUAAGAGGUACUACAGGGGUAGGAGUGAAAUCUUGUAAUCCCUGUGAGACCACCUGUGGCGAAGGCGUCUUACCAGAACGGGUUCGACGGUGAGGGACGAAAGCUGGGGGCACGAACCGGAUUAGAUACCCGGGUAGUCCCAGCCGUAAACGAUGCUCGCUAGGUGUCAGGCAUGGCGCGACCGUGUCUGGUGCCGCAGGGAAGCCGUGAAGCGAGCCACCUGGGAAGUACGGCCGCAAGGCUGAAACUUAAAGGAAUUGGCGGGGGAGA